GAUGAACGCUGGCGGCGUGCCUAAUACAUGCAAGUCGAGCGAACGGACGAGAAGCUUGCUUCUCUGAUGUUAGCGGCGGACGGGUGAGUAACACGUGGAUAACCUACCUAUAAGACUGGGAUAACUUCGGGAAACCGUAGCUAAUACCGGAUAAUAUUUUGAACCGCAUGGUUCAAAAGUGAAAGACGGUCUUGCUGUCACUUAUAGAUGGAUCCGCGCUGCAUUAGCUAGUUGGUAAGGUAACGGCUUACCAAGGCAACGAUGCAUAGCCGACCUGAGAGGGUGAUCGGCCACACUGGAACUGAGACACGGUCCAGACUCCUACGGGAGGCAGCAGUAGGGAAUCUUCCGCAAUGGGCGAAAGCCUGACGGAGCAACGCCGCGUGAGUGAUGAAGGUCUUCGGAUCGUAAAACUCCGUUAUUAGGGAAGAACAUAUGUGUAAGUAACUGUGCACAUCUUGACGGUACCUAAUCAGAGAGCCACGGCUAACUACGUG
rnacentral:rRNA from 1 species